rnacentral:rRNA from 1 species
UGGGGAAUAUUGCACAAUGGGGGAAACCCGUGAUGCAGCGACGCCGCGUGAGCGAAGAAGUAUUUCGGUAUGUAAAGCUCUAUCAGGCAAGGGGAAGAAAAAAAUGACGGUACCUGAGUAACGAAGACACCGGCUAAAUACGUGCC